GAUUACCUUGUUAAUGACUCUGGUGUGGCUGUGAAGAUUGUGUGGUUUCUCCCUCUCUGGUUCUACCACUUCUCCUGCUGGGACUCUGGACUGCUAGAUCACCACUUGCUCCUUCUUCAGGUUGGUCUCUCUGAUGUCUCAUUUCAGCAUCUUCUUGCUGCUAUGAUUUAUACGGUGACUCACCUGCUUGCAUGCCGGUUGGAUAAGGGCUUGCUGCCACCUCAACAAAGCUGGUUUGGUGUGAUAAUCUCAAGCUAUAUUUACUAUCAGUAGAAAUUUUGUAAAGCCUGACAUGUUUAGUGCUUUUGCACUUGAGUCCCACAAGUUAGUAAAAUUUAAGAUUACUAUGAAUUUAGGGACUGAUAUGCAAUUGCCCUAGAACUCAAGAGUUUUUCUGAAAAAUAAAUAAUUAUUGAAUCUU
rnacentral:lncRNA from 1 species